AAUUUCGAGAUAAAUCUGUAAACAGAUUACCAUUAUUUCAAUAUCGCGCAAUUUUGGACCAAGUUGUACAAACAUCGAUCUUGUGGCACUUUUAAUUAAUUUUAUUUUCAGAAAGGUGUAACUGCGCCCAGUGUUUUGCACGUUUUGGCGACAAAUGUUUAAUUUGUUCUACACGUGCUGCUUGCUUGACAUGACGAACUGUGUGAAGGGGACAGCGAAAAUUUUGGUGUGAUUAGAGA
rnacentral:lncRNA from 1 species